GACGAACGCUGGCGGCGUGCUUAACACAUGCAAGUCGAACGGAAAGGCCAUGCUUUUGUGGGGUGCUCGAGUGGCGAAAGGGUGAGUAACACGUGAGUAACCUGCCCUUGUCUUUGGGAUAACUUCAGGAAACUGGGGCUAAUACCGGAUAGGAGCUCCUGAUGCAUGGUGGGGGUUGGAAAGUUUCGGCGGUUGGGGAUGGACUCGCGGCUUAUCAGCUUGUUGGUGGGGUUGUGGCUUACCAAGGUUUUGACGGGUAGCCGGCCUGAGAGGGUGACCGGCCACAUUGGGACUGAGAUACGGCCCAGACUCCUACGGGAGGCAGCAGUGGAGAAUAUUGCACAAUGGGCGGAAGCCUGAUGCAGCAACGCCGCGUGCGGGAUGACGGCCUUCGGGUUGUAAACCGCUUUCGCCUGUGACGAAGCGUGAGUGACGGUAAUGGGUAAAGAAGCACCGGCUAACUACGUG
rnacentral:rRNA from 1 species